AUAAAGCUAAUUGUAUAGACUGCUUAGUUGAUGUCAGAGAAUAAAACCUUCUUUAAAAACAAAUGAUCUUGGGCUGGAGGUGUUUCUUAGUGGAAGAUCAUAUAGUAGAUUCUCUGUCCAAGGACCUGUGUGUUUAGUCCACCUGCACUGAAGAAUAAAUGACCAAUUUUAAUGGUUCUGUGACUUGAGACAGUUUAGUUUGUGUGAAAGGCAUGUCCUGAAUUCCUUUCUCUUUCUGCUGUGAUAUGAAAAUCCUCCUGGUUUUUUUGUGGAAGCUAGUUGGAUAAUGGUUCAAUACUGU